AGAGUUUGAUCCUGGCUCAGAGCGAACGCUGGCGGCAGGCUUAACACAUGCAAGUCGAGCGGGCGUAGCAAUACGUCAGCGGCAGACGGGUGAGUAACGCGUGGGAACGUACCUUUUGGUUCGGAACAACUGAGGGAAACUUCAGCUAAUACCGGAUAAGCUUACGGGAAAGGAUUUAUCGCCGAAAGAUCGGCCCGCGU
rnacentral:rRNA from 1 species